CAGGAUGAACGCUAGCGGCAGGCUUAACACAUGCAAGUCGAGGGGCAUCGGGAGUAGCAAUACUUGCCGGCGACCGGCGCAAGGGUGCGUAACGCGUGAGCAACAUGCCCGUAUCAGGGGGAUAAUCCAUGGAAACGUGGUCUAAUACCCCAUAGUAAUUAUGUAAGGCAUCUUAUAUAAUUUAAAGCUUUGGUGGAUACGGAUUGGCUCGCGUGACAUUAGCUGGAUGGUAAGGUAACGGCUUACCAUGGCUACGAUGUCUAGGGGUUCUGAGAGGAAGGUCCCCCACACUGGAACUGAGACACGGUCCAGACUCCUACGGGAGGCAGCAGUGAGGAAUAUUGGACAAUGGAUGGAAAUCUGAUCCAGCCAUGCCGCGUGCAAGGAAGACGGCCCUAUGGGUUGUAAACUGCUUUUGUAUGGGAGCAAUAAGGGCUACGUGUAGUCCGAUGAGAGUACCAUACGAAUAAGCACCGGCUAACUCCGUGCCAGCCGCCGC
rnacentral:rRNA from 1 species